rnacentral:rRNA from 1 species
ACUCCUACGGGAGGCAUCAGUGGGGAAUAUUGCACAAUGGGCGCAAGCCUGAUGCAGCCAUGCCGCGUGUAUGAAGAAGGCCUUCGGGUUGUAAAGUACUUUCAGUCAGUGGAAGGAGGCGGUACGUUAAUAGCGUGCUCGUUUGACGUUAGCUGCAGAAGAAGCACCGGCUAACUCCGUGCCAGCAGCCGCGGUAAUACGGAGGGUGCGAGCGUUAAUCGGAAUUACUGGGCGUAAAGCGCAUGCAGGUGGUUUGUUAAGUCAGAUGUGAAAG